rnacentral:rRNA from 1 species
GACGAACGCUGGCGGCGUGCUUAACACAUGCAAGUCGAACGGAAAGGCCCUGCUUUUGUGGGGUGCUCGAGUGGCGAACGGGUGAGUAACACGUGAGUAACCUGCCCUUGACUUUGGGAUAACUUCAGGAAACUGGGGCUAAUACCGGAUAGGAGCUCCUGCUGCAUGGUGGGGGUUGGAAAGUUUCGGCGGUUGGGGAUGGACUCGCGGCUUAUCAGCUUGUUGGUGGGGUAGUGGCUUACCAAGGCUUUGACGGGUAGCCGGCCUGAGAGGGUGACCGGCCACAUUGGGACUGAGAUACGGCCCAGACUCCUACGGGAGGCAGCAGGGGGGAAUAGUGCACAAUGGGCGGAAGCCUGGUGCAGCAACGCCGCGUGCGGGAUGACGGCCUUCGGGUUGGAAACCGCUUUCGCCUGUGACGAAGCGUGAGUGACGGUAAUGGGUAAAGAAGCACCGGCUAACUACGUG